UGCUCAUCCAAGAGUUGAAGAGAGUGAUUCUUCUGAAGAUGAGGUUGCUCCUCGAAAUACAAUUGGAGAUGUGCCCUUGGUGUGGUAUCGGGAUGAAAAACAUAUUGGUUAUGAUAUUUCUAGGAAAAAGAUAAAAAAGAAAGAAAAAGAAGAUAAAUUGCAGUCUUUCCUUGCGAGUGCAGAUGAUUCCAAAAAUUGGCGCAAAAUUUAUGAUGAGUAUAAUGAUGAGAUUGUAGAACUCAAAAAGAAAGAGACCAAACUUAUUAGUAGAUUGCUUGAAGGAAAGGCACCAGAUGCUGACUUUGAUCCAUAUGCGCCUUAUGUUGACUGGUUCAAAUGGGAUGGUGCUAAACAUCCCCUUUCAAAUGCACCUGAACCCAAGAGACGCUUCACUCGUUCAAAGAGCGAAGAUAA